UACGAGGGGGGCAAAUGUUGUUCGGAAUCACUGGGCGUAAAGGGAGCGUAGGCGGGUGUUUAAGUUAGGUGUUUAAUCCUGGGGCCCAACCCCAGUCGUGCACCUAAAACUGGACAUCUUGAAUAGUGGAGAAGUCAGUGGAAUUGGGGGUGUAGCGGUGGAAUGCGUAGAGAUCCCCAAGAACACCAGUUGCGAAGGCGGCUGACUGGACACAUAUUGACGCUGAGGCUCGAAAGCAUGGGGAGCAAACAGG
rnacentral:rRNA from 1 species